rnacentral:rRNA from 1 species
ACGGGAGGCAGCAGUGGGGAAUAUUGCACAAUGGGCGCAAGCCUGAUGCAGCCAUGCCGCGUGUAUGAAGAAGGCCUUCGGGUUGUAAAGUACUUUCAGUCGUGAGGAAGGUGUUAAGGUUAAUAACCUUAGCAAUUGACGUUAGCGACAGAAGAAGCACCGGCUAACUCCGUGCCAGCAGCCGCGGUAAUACGGAGGGUGCGAGCGUUAAUCGGAAUUACUGGGCGUAAAGGGCACGCAGGCGGUUAAUUAAGUUGGAUGUGAAAUCCCCGGGCUUAACCUGGGAAUGGCAUUCAAGACUGGUUAGCUAGAGUCUUGUAGAGGGGGUAGAAUUCCAUGUGUAGCGGUGAAAUGCGUAGAGAUGUGGAGGAAUACCGGUGGCGAAGGCGGCCCCUGGGACAAAGACUGACGCUCAUGUGCGAAAGCGUGGGGAGCAAACAGGGAUUAGAUACC